rnacentral:rRNA from 1 species
CCUACGGGUGGCUGCAGUGGGGAAUAUUGCACAAUGGGCGCAAGCCUGAUGCAGCCAUGCCGCGUGUGUGAAGAAGGCCUUCGGGUUGUAAAGCACUUUCAGCGGGGAGGAAGGCGGUGAGGUUAAUAACCUCAUCGAUUGACGUUACCCGCAGAAGAAGCACCGGCUAACUCCGUGCCAGCAGCCGCGGUAAUACGGAGGGUGCAAGCGUUAAUCGGAAUUACUGGGCGUAAAGCGCACGCAGGCGGUCUGUCAAGUCGGAUGUGAAAUCCCCGGGCUCAACCUGGGAACUGCAUUCGAAACUGGCAGGCUAGAGUCUUGUAGAGGGGGGUAGAAUUCCAGGUGUAGCGGUGAAAUGCGUAGAGAUCUGGAGGAAUACCGGUGGCGAAGGCGGCCACCUGGACAAAGACUGACGCUCAGGUGCGAAAGCGUGGGGAGCAAACAGGAUUAGAUACCCCUGUAGUC